GCCUAUGUAACCUAGUUGACAUGGCAUCUGCCCGGUAAGCGGAACACUGUGGGUUCGAUUCCCAUCCCUGGACA
rnacentral:tRNA from 1 species